rnacentral:sRNA from 1 species
GCUGGGCAUAGUGGCGCGUGCCUGUAAUCCCAGCAAUUCUGGAGGCUGAGGCAGGAGGAUCAUGAGUUCCAAGCCAGCCUCAGCAAAAGCAAGGUGCUAAAGCAAUUCAGUGGGACCCUGUCUCUA